rnacentral:rRNA from 1 species
UACGUAGGGUGCGAGCGUUGUCCGGAAUUAUUGGGCGUAAAGAGCUCGUAGGCGGUUCGAUAAGUCGGACGUGAAAUCUCCACGCUCAACGUGGAGGGGCCGUUCGAUACUGUCGUGACUCGAGUCCGGUAGGGGAGUGUGGAAUUCCCGGUGUAGCGGUGAAAUGCGCAGAGAUCGGGAGGAACACCCGUAGCGAAGGCGGCACUCUGGGCCGGUACUGACGCUGAGGAGCGAAAGCGUGGGGAGCAACAGGAUUAAGAA